UCUCCGUUGCCCAUUCUGUAACAGCCAUGGCUUCUGCUCCUCCGAAGCUCUAUGCAGAUGAUGUUAGCCUUUUAGUGGUUUUACUGGAUACGAAUCCUUUUUUCUGGAGCACAUCUUCUCUCCCAUUCUCCAAGUUUCUGUCUCAUGUACUUGCUUUUCUGAACUCCAUUUUAGUUCUGAAUCAACUUAAUGAGGUUGUGGUUAUUGGUACUGGAUACGCUUCAUGCAAGUAUUUAUACAACUCGUCUUCUUACUCAAAUCAUGGCCUUGAAGAUGGUAGAAUGCCUGCACUUUGUACUCGUUUAUUGAAUAAUUUGGAGGAAUUCGUAAUUAGCGAUGAGCAAUCCCUCAAGGAAGACCCCAAAGGAGGGACCAUGUCUUCACUUCUUUCUGGAUCGCUCUCCAUGGCUUUGUGUUAUAUACAGAAAGUUUUCCGCUCUGGAUCUCUCCAUCCUCAACCUCGAAUCCUUUGUUUGCAGGGAUCCCCAGAUGGUCCUGAACAAUAUGUUGCAAUCAUGAAUGCCAUCUUUUCUGCUCAGCGUUCAAUGGUUCCUAUAGAUUCAUGUUACAUUGGUUCACACAAUUCUGCAUUUCUUCAGCAGGCUUCUUACAUAACGGGUGGAGUUUAUCUGAAGCCUCAGCAAAUGGAUGGGCUGUUUCAAUAUCUCUCUGUAGGUUCUACUUUCCCACUGUUUUUGGCACUGAUUUGCAUUCCCGGACCUUCUUACAGCUUCCAAAGUCUGUUGGUGUGGAUUUCCGUGCAUCGUGUUUCUGCCACAAAAAAACAAUUGAUAUGGGCUAUGUCUGUUCUGUUUGUUUAUCUAUAUUCUGCAAGCAUCACAAGAAAUGCUCUACCUGUGGGUCAGUUUUUGGUGAGUCCCCAAUAGAACUCGAUUCAGUGUCUAAACAGAAGAGAAAAACUCCAGAAUGAUUUCACUCUGCUAACAGUUCCAUUUUUCUUCCCUUUCUUGGCGCUGUUUGGAUCUGGAAUUCAUGUAAUUUGGUUCAUCUGGCUUGAGCGGAGAUGACCUAAAGGAAACAGUUGCUGAAAGAGGGUCAAUCUCGACGUUGUACAAUUCAGAUCACUCGUUCGAACAUUCUAACCUAGCGGUGGAACUCAGUUGGAAGGGAUAACAUGAAACGAUGGUGAGCAAAGUCAUGCAUCUGUAUUUCAUCUAUUCCAGUCCAAUACAAAUCUGGUGCAAGGUUUCUAUGGAACUUGAGACUUAACUGGAAAAGUUAAGUCUGAUGUACUUGAACUGAAAACUUGAAUGGUUUAUAAGUAUAUGGAGAUUUAAUAUUUUGCCCCCGGUCGACAGUAUUUCAAAGCUUUACCUUCGUAAAAGUACACGAGGAUAGUCAUGUUGUCGAUUCCAGAAUUUAUGAAGUGCCCAGAAUUACUUUAGAAUCGUGUUAUUUUUAUAGUUGUCCUAUUGGAAGUUUACAAGUUGGAAAUGUAUCAGCUACGAAGAAUAUUUUGUCAGGUUAGUUGAAUUUCUUUGGUUAUUAUAUAAUAAAAGUGUUCAACAUGCUCAAA